rnacentral:rRNA from 1 species
AUUGAACGCUGGCGGCAUGCCUUACACAUGCAAGUCGAACGGCGGCACGGGGGCAACCCUGGUGGCGAGUGGCGAACGGGUGAGUAAUACAUCGGAACGUAUCCUGUAGCGGGGGAUAACCUCUCGAAAGAGAGGCUAAUACCGCAUACGACCUACGGGUGAAAGAGGGGGAUCGCAAGACCUCUCACUAUAGGAGCGGCCGAUGUCGGAUUAGCUAGUUGGUGGGGUAAAAGCCACCAAGGCUACGAUCCGUAGCUGGUCUGAGAGGACGACCAGCCACACUGGAACUGAGACACGGUCCAGACUCCUACGGGAGGCAGCAGUGGGGAAUUUUGGACAAUGGGCGCAAGCCUGAUCCAGCCAUGCCGCGUGGGUGACGAAGGCCUU